rnacentral:rRNA from 1 species
GACGAACGCUGGCGGCGUGCUUAACACAUGCAAGUCGAACGGAAAGGCCCUGCUUUUGUGGGGUGCUCGAGUGGCGAACGGGUGAGUAACACGUGAGUAACCUGCCCUUGACUUUGGGAUAACUUCAGGAAACUGGGGCUAAUACCGGAUAGGAGCUCCUGCUGCAUGGUGGGGGUUGGAAAGUUUCGGCGGUUGGGGAUGGACUCGCAGCUUAUCAGCUUGUUGGUGGGGUAGUGGCGUACCAAGGCUUUGACGGGUAGCCGGCCUGAGAGGGUGACCGGCCACAUUGGGACUGAGAUACGGCCCAGACUCCUACGGGAGGCAGCAGUGGGGAAUAUUGCACAAUGGGCGGAAGCCUGAUGCAGCAACGCCGCGUGCGGGAUGACGGCCUUCGGGUUGUAAACCGCUUUCGCCUGUGACGAAGCGUGAGUGACGGUAAUGGGUAAAGAAGCACCGGCUAACUACGUG